UGUUAAAAAAUUCAUCAAAUUUUACUAUUAAAAACUGACAAAAUAAUUAAACAGUGAUACAUGGUAUGCUACAUAUACCUCGUGUUGAUGUACAAGGACCAAUUUUUAACAGUAGAAGUGGGUGAAGACUGUUUGAUA
rfam:Gossypium hirsutum cultivar TM-1 chromosome 5, whole genome shotgun sequence